CUGCCUGAUACUUAUUCAGCAGUGUCCCAGCAUCAGGAGAGUUCCCUAUUUCUGUGUUGCUCUCAACCUCACAGAGGAAAGGACAGACUCCAAGCUGACUGUGUUCUCCAAGAGAGCCACAGUGUGUUCUGAGGUCCUGGAAGGGGCAUGGAUGGGGGAGCCUGGCUGAGCAUAGUGAAAGACUGGAUAGAGCCAAGGUUUCCCAGAACUGGGUUGUCUCCAUUUCACCAACUAAAAAACACAAGGGAAGGAGAGGACCCUGAUGUGGUGUAUAGCCCACACUCACAACUCUACUGUUCUGGGGGCUGAGGCAAGAGGAUCCUGAAAGUCUUUCUCCAAAAAGAUAAAAGGAAAGUAAUAGAAAACAGGAAAGAAAGGAGGGAAAGGCAUGCUGGUGGCGAGGGGGAGGGAGGACCCAACCCAGCUGGUCUCUUGUCUCUCCCAUCUUUCCCCAUAUGACACCCUCAGGUCCCCAUUCUCUCCCCUGACACAGACUUGCCAGAGGGAAUCGGGACUCCAAAGCAAGAUAAACAGAAGGGAAGGGGGCUCAGGAGGCACAUUCCAGAGCUAAAAAUAACAGGGUCAGCUGGCAGCCUCAGCCUUCCUCAGCCCCCCAGGGCCCCAGCCAGUCUCCUCCUCUCUCCCAGCUCUCUACUGGGCCCCAAUCUGGGAAGCCUGACUGCAUCUGCUGAGACCAUGCCAGCAUGGCCUCCUGACUGUACCCUCAGCUAGGGAAGGUGGAAGACCCAACCCCAAUGAGGUUCCCUUCUCCACCAGGUCUAACUAGGCUCAUCAUCUCUUAACCUCUGACCUCCGUUCUCUCUCUCUCUCUUUUUUUUUUUUCUUUUUCUUUUUUUCGGAGCUGGGGACCGAACCCAGGGCCUUGAGCUUGCUAGGCAAGCGCUCUACCACUGAGCUAAAUCCCCAACCCCGACCUCGGUUCUCUUAAUGCUAUCACAAAAUGCAAAAUUUUGGUCCUAUAGGCAAAGGUGGUUUGGGUGCCCCAAGGCCAUUAAAGAUGAGCUCUCCUAGAAACAUACCCUGCACUUAGUAAGCAAUUCUGCUAUUGUGUGAAGAAAAAGGAAGUUCCAGAAAAACAAACAAACAAACAAACGAACAAACAAAAAACUCAUGAUGUACUUACUAUGAACCAGGAAAUUUAGGAGGAAGAACUAGGAAAAUUGCCACAAAUUAGAGGUGUUCCAGCUGUGGGAAACGGAGGCUUCGCGCCGCAAGGAAAGAGCCAAAGUCGUCCAGGGCUACUCUGAAAAGAGAGCACCUCCAAAACCAUGCUAAAGCCAAGCACAGUGGCAGAUGCCUGAAAUCUGAGCAUUUAGGAAGCAGAGACAGAAGGAACGGAAGUCUAGGGGCAGCCUGUGCUACAUACCUGUCAAACUUAAGGCAACGCGGGCCACCUGAGAUCAUGUCUCACAAAAACAAGAGCAAAAGCUCUCUACCCAAACAACAUGUACAUCUGUGUACAGUGCCAUUGACACAACAGGGUCUGUCCUUGUACACUCUAUGAUGUAGAACUCUCACCUCCUUCUCCAGCACCAUGUCUGCCUGAAUGCCGCCAUGCUUCCUGCCAAGAUGAUAAUGGACUGAACCUCUGAAACUGUAAGCCAGGUCCAAUGAAAUGUUUUCCUUAUUAAGAGUCGCCAUAACAUAGAAAAACCUUGUCUCUAAAAUAAAAGUUGUCAUGGUCA